rnacentral:lncRNA from 10 species
AACCCGACGGGCUGAGGUAGAGGAAGCGUACGUCCGAGGCGGUCUUGCCACGUCCUCACUGGCACUUCUGGAAAAGCAGCGUCUCAGCCCCCGUUCAGGGCGGCGCACUACGUACCACUACUCUAACAAACCAGUGCCUCGAAAGCUAUUUCUUGCCUCCGGUACUUCCCUUUUAACCAUGAAGUUUUCACGCUAGAGGCUACUCAACGCACACACAGGCCCGCCCAGACUGUGGAGCGGGACCUGUUUAGAGUAGAAACCGAGUCGCCAAAGAAACCAGUGUUGGCUCUUUAGAGGGAGAUUUAACUUGAGCCUAGACCGGUUCCGAACCCCUUUCCCGAGCCCUCCUGACGUCAUGGGACCUUCCGGCCUUUUCCCGUGCUAGGGUGGGACUACGUGUCCCGGCAUGCCCUGCGUCCUGCCACUGACUGUGAGGCAUGCUGGGAUUUGUAGUCUUCGAGGUGGGAGUGCUCAGUGCGCCGCAGACUGUGCGGGCGGGGGUCCGAGGUGCCAGGGUGGAGUUUCUCUGGUGCGCAAGGUCAUGUUUGCUGUUGGCUCCCUUCUCAAGACUGUUACCUCUAUGCCAGGAUUUUCUAGUUCCUCUCUAGCUCCUGGUUUAAAACAUUUCCUUUCUGCGACUCCUGCCCCAGGACAUAAAGAGUAGCUUUAUGAGAAUUGUUUUGCAAACUGUAAAGAACUCUACUAAAGUGAGGAUAUUUAAGAAUUUUGAAUUUGAAUUAGAGCUCUGCCAGAAUCUAAGCGCUAACUUCUGACUCAGCUGCUUGCCUGCUGGAAAACCUUAGGCUGAAUUCUUUAGAUAAACAUUCACUGGGCCGAGCACCGUGGCUCAAGGAUCCAAUCCCAGCACUUUGGGAGGCCGAGGUGGGCGGAUCACCUGAGGUCAGGAGUUCGAGGCCAGCCUGACCAAAAUGGAGAAACCCCGUCUCUACUAAAAAUACAAAAUUAGCAAGGCGCGGUCGCGCAUGCCUGUAAUCCCAGCUAGUCGGGAGGCAGAGGCAGGAGAAUCGCUUGAACCCGGGAGGCGGAGGUUGUGGUUAGCCGAGAUAACGCCAUUGCACUCCAGCCUGGGCAACAAGAGUAAAACUCCGUCUCAAAAAAAACAAAAAAAUUCGCUGAAGGCAGAAGAAAGUAAGAUGUGGUCCCUGCCCUUGGAAGUGGGUUAGGGAGUGAGCGGUAGAAAUACAAAGAUCCCCAUCCCAGUCUUGGGAGGCUUCGGGGUACUUGAGAAAAGGCUUCCCAGAAGUAAUUCCGAAGCCCGCUUUUAACGGGUGAGUUGGACUUAUCCAGGAUAGAAGAAAGACACCAUUCCAGAAAAAAAGAAACCACAAGGAGCAAAGGCACAGAAGAGAAAAGCUUGGCGUGAGAGGGCCACAAUUUCUGAGACAGGGACAGGUGAGAGUUAUGGCUUGAAAGGAAGACCUUGCCGCCGGGCGCGGUGGCUCACGCCUGUAAUCCCAGCACUUUGGGAGGCCAAGGCGGGCGGAUCACGAGAUCAGGAGAUCGAGACCAUCCUGGCUAACACGGUGAAACCCCCUCUCUACUAAAAAUACAAAAAAAAUAGCCGGGCGUAGUGGCGGGCGCCUGUAGUCCCAGCUACUCUGGAGGCUGAGGCAGGAGAAGGGCGGGAACC